CAGGGUUCUUUUUUCUUGUUGACCCUAAGGGGAGCUUACAGUGACUUACUGCAGUACAGAAGUCUGUAUUUUAGCUAUCAAAAGCUAUUUGCAAAGAACCACAUCUUCCAUAGCACUUUUCAUGACAUUUUGCUGUUCUGUCACAUGGGAUCUCUUGCUUGGUGUCUGUAUUAGUGACAACCUAAUGGAAGUUUUUAGAAGUUUCUGAAGUAUUUUUUUGUUUUCUUGGUUUAUGAAAGCAGAUACAAAUGGUGAGUUUGGUGGUAAUACAAGUAGGACAUUAAUUCAUUUUUCUCUUCACCUUUUAGGCACCAACACUUCCGUUAGUGGAAGCUGAGGGACUCCAGAAUGGUGACCAAUAAAUACUCUAUAACACUGCAUAUUAUUUUCUCCCAAGUAGAACUCUACUGCAGUCACAUUGUUAAGCCCAUGGACAAACCAGCAAUCUCCGCAAUUAGAGGUUAAACAGGAGCAGGUUUACAGAGCUGCCAAAACAGAAGAACAUGUGGAAUUAAUACAGUGCCAGUAAAGGAAAACGCUGAAUGAACAAGGCUUUUCUUUGACAGUAUCAAACCAGAUUU
ensembl:lncRNA